rnacentral:rRNA from 1 species
GUGGGGAAUAUUGGACAAUGGGCGCAAGCCUGAUCCAGCCAUGCCGCGUGAGUGAUGAAGGCCUUAGGGUUGUAAAGCUCUUUCAGUGGGGACGAUAAUGAUGGUACCCACAGAAGAAGCCACGGCUAACUUCGUGCCAGCAGCCGCGGUAAUACGAAGGGGGCUAGCGUUGUUCGGAUUUACUGGGCGUAAAGCGCACGUAGGCGGAUCGUUAAGUCGGGGGUGAAAUCCUGGAGCUCAACUCCAGAACUGCCUUCGAUACUGGCGAUCUUGAGUCCGGAAGAGGUGAGUGGAACUCCUAGUGUAGAGGUGGAAUUCGUAGAUAUUAGGAAGAACACCAGUGGCGAAGGCGGCUCACUGGUCCGGUACUGACGCUGAGGUGCGAAAGCGUGGGGAGCAAACAGGAUUAGAUACCCGUGUAGUCC